CCUACGGGCGGCAGCAGUGGGGAAUAUUGCACAAUGGGCGCAAGCCUGAUGCAGCCAUGCCGCGUGUGUGAAGAGGGCCUUCGGGUUGUAAAGCACUUUCAGCGGGGAGGAAGGCGUUAAGGUUAAUAACCUUGGCGAUUGACGUUACCCGCAGAAGAAGCACCGGCUAACUCCGUGCCAGCAGCCGCGGUAAUACGGAGGGUGCAAGCGUUAAUCGGAAUUACUGGGCGUAAAGCGCACGCAGGCGGUCUGUCAAGUCGGAUGUGAAAUCCCCGGGCUCAACCUGGGAACUGCAUUCGAAACUGGCAGGCUAGAGUCUUGUAGAGGGGGGUAGAAUUCCAGGUGUAGCGGUGAAAUGCGUAGGGAUCUGGAGGAAUACCGGUGGCGAAGGCGGCCCCCUGGACAAAGACUGACGCUCAGGUGCGAAAGCGUGGGGAGCAAACAGGAUUAGAUACCCCAGUAGUC
rnacentral:rRNA from 1 species